UAGGGAAUCUUCGGCAAUGGACGAAAGUCUGACCGAGCAACGCCGCGUGAGUGAAGAAGGUUUUCGGAUCGUAAAACUCUGUUGUUAGAGAAGAACAAGGACGUUAGUAACUGAACGUCCCCUGACGGUAUCUAACCAGAAAGCCACGGCUAACUACGUGCCAGCAGCCGCGGUAAUACGUAGGUGGCAAGCGUUGUCCGGAUUUAUUGGGCGUAAAGCGAGCGCAGGCGGUUUCUUAAGUCUGAUGUGAAAGCCCCCGGCUCAACCGGGGAGGGUCAUUGGAAACGGGGAGACUUGAGUGCAGAAGAGGAGAGUGGAAUUCCAUGUGUAGCGGUGAAAUGCGUAGAUAUAUGGAGGAACACCAGUGGGGAAGGCGGCUCUCUGGUCUGUAACUGACGCUGAGGCUCGAAAGCGUGGGGAGCAAACAGG
rnacentral:rRNA from 1 species